AGGGUUCGAUUCUGGCUCAGAACGAACGCUGGCGGCAGGCCUAACACAUGCAAGUCGAGCGCGCCCUUCGGGGUGAGCGGCGGACGGGUUAGUAACGCGUGGGAACGUACCCUUUGGUAGGGAAUAGCCACUGGAAACGGUGAGUAAUACCCUAUGAGCCCUUCGGGGGAAAGAUUUAUCGCCAAAGGAUCGGCCCGCGUUAGAUUAGGUAGUUGGUGGGGUAAUGGCCUACCAAGCCUACGAUCUAUAGCUGGUUUUAGAGGAUGAUCAGCAACACUGGGACUGAGACACGGCCCAGACUCCUACGGGAGGCAGCAGUGGGGAAUCUUGGACAAUGGGGGCAACCCUGAUCCCAGCCAUGCCGCGUGAGUGAAGAAGGCCUUAGGGUCGUAAAGCUCUUUCGCCUGUGAAGAUAAUGACGGUAGCAGGUAAAGAAACCCCGGCUAACUCCGUGCCAGCAGCUGC
rnacentral:rRNA from 1 species